rnacentral:rRNA from 1 species
GACGAACGCUGGCGGCGUGCUUAACACAUGCAAGUCGAACGGAAAGGCCCUGCUUUUGUGGGGUGCUCGAGUGGCGAACGGGUGAGUAACACGUGAGUAACCUGCCCUUGACUUUGGGAUAACUUCAGGAAACUGGGGCUAAUACCGGAUAGGAGCUCCUGCUGCAUGGUGGGGGUUGGAAAGUUUCGGCGGUUGGGGAUGGACUCGCGGCUUAUCAGCUUGUUGGUGGGGUAGUGGCUUACCAAGGCUUUGACGGGUAGCCGGCCUGAGAGGGUGACCGGCCACAUUGGGACUGAGAUACGGCCCAGACUCCUACGGGAGGCAGCAGUGGGGAAUAUUGCACAAUGGGCGGAAGCCUGAUGCAGCAACGCCGCGUGCGGGAUGACGGCCUUCGGGUUGUAAACCGCUUUCGCCUGUGACGAAGCGUGAGUGACGGUAAUGGGUAAAGAAGCACCGGCUAACUACGUGCCAGCAGCCGCGGUGAUACGUAGGGUGCGAGCGUUGUCCGGAUUUAUUGGGCGUAAAGGGCUCGUAGGUGGUUGAUCGCGUCGGAAGUGUAAUCUUGGGGCUUAACCCUGAGCGUGCUUUCGAUACGGGUUGACUUGAGGAAGGUAGGGGAGAAUGGAAUUCCUGGUGGAGCGGUGGAAUGCGCAGAUAUCAGGAGGAACACCAGUGGCGAAGGCGGUUCUCUGGGCCUUUCCUGACGCUGAGGAGCGAAAGCGUGGGGAGCGAACAGGCUUAGAUACCCUGGUAGUCCACGCUGUAAACGGUGGGUACUAGGUGUGGGGUCCAUUCCACGGGUUCCGUGCCGUAGCUAACGCUUUAAGUACCCCGCCUGGGGAGUACGGCCGCAAGGCUAAAACUCAAAGGAAUUGACGGGGCCCCGCACAAGCGGCGGAGCAUGCGGAUUAAUUCGAUGCAACGCGUAGAACCUUACCUGGGUUUGACAUGGAUCGGGAGCGCUCAGAGAUGGGUGUGCCUCUUUUGGGGUCGGUUCACAGGUGGUGCAUGGCUGUCGUCAGCUCGUGUCGUGAGAUGUUGGGUUAAGUCCCGCAACGAGCGCAACCCUUGUUCACUGUUGCCAGCACGUUAUGGUGGGGACUCAGUGGAGACCGCCGGGGUCAACUCGGAGGAAGGUGGGGAUGACGUCAAGUCAUCAUGCCCCUUAUGUCCAGGGCUUCACGCAUGCUACAAUGGCUGGUACAGAGAGUGGCGAGCCUGUGAGGGUGAGCGAAUCUCGGAAAGCCGGUCUCAGUUCGGAUUGGGGUCUGCAACUCGACCUCAUGAAGUCAGAGUCGCUAGUAAUCGCAGAUCAGCAACGCUGCGGUGAAUACGUUCCCGGGGCU